UUAGUACUGAGUCUGAAACUGGUUUAAAACUGGUCUUAAAACUGAGUCUGAAACUGGUUUAAAACUGGUCUUAAAACCGAGUCUGACACUAGUUCAAAACUGAUCUAAACUGGUCUGAAACUGGUUUAAUACUGGUUUAAAACUAAGUCUAAAAACUGGUUUAAAACUAGUCUGACACUGGUUUAAAACUAAGUCUGAAACUAGUUUAAAACUGAUCUAAACUGGUCUGAAACAGGUUUAAAACUAGUUUAAAACUAGUCUGAAAGUGGUGUUAACUGGUCUGAAACUGGUUUAAACUGGUCUGAAAUUGUUGUAUAACUAGAC